CCUACGGGUGACAGCAGUCGAGAAUCAUUCACAAUGGGGGAAACCCUGGUGGUGCGACGCCGCGUGGGGGAAUGAAGGUCUUCGGAUUGUAAACCCCUGUCAUGUGGGAGCAAAUUAAAAAGAUAGUACCACAAGAGGAAGAGACGGCUAACUCUGUGCCAGCAGCCGCGGUAAUACAGAGGUCUCAAGCGUUGUUCGGAAUCACUGGGCGUAAAGCGUGCGUAGGCUGUUUCGUAAGUCGUGUGUGAAAGGCGCGGGCUCAACCCGCGGACGGCACAUGAUACUGCGAGACUAGAGUAAUGGAGGGGGAACCGGAAUUCUCGGUGUAGCAGUGAAAUGCGUAGAUAUCGAGAGGAACACUCGUGGCGAAGGCGGGUUCCUGGACAUUAACUGACGCUGAGGCACGAAGGCCAGGGGAGCGAAAGGGAUUAGAUACCCCUGUAGUC
rnacentral:rRNA from 1 species